AUUUUAGUUAUGUUCUUGAAACUUAAAAAAUUUGGCGGUAUUUUAGUCUAUCCAGAGGAACCUGUUUUGUAAUCGAUAAUCCACGAUGGACCUUACUUAAAUUUGUAAUCAGUUUAUAUACCGUCGUUAUCAGAAUAUU